AGUGAGUAGCUUGCUAUGAGCUGUUUUAGCGGCGGACGGGUGAGUAACGCGUGGGUAACCUGCCUUGUACUGGGGGAUAGCAGCUGGAAACGACUGCUAAUACCGCAUAAGCCCACGGUGCCGCAUGACACUGAGGGAAAAGGAUUUAUUCGCUUUAGGAUGGACUCGCGUCCAAUUAGCUAGUUGGUGAGGUAACGGCCCACCAAGGCGACGAUUGGUAGCCGGACUGAGAGGUUGAACGGCCACAUUGGGACUGAGACACGGCCCAGACUCC
rnacentral:rRNA from 1 species